rnacentral:ncRNA from 2 species
AGCCCGGCACGCAACUGGCGAUAGGCGCUCUACCCGCAUCGGGUUUAGAGCGCCGAUGUGGGAACACCACGGGGGAGCGUGCCGCAAAACUCAUGUGGGUGUUGUGAUCAGCCGUUCGCCUGGGCAGCCCUG